UCACUGUGUUGCCCAGGCUGGUCUCAAAUUACUGCCCUCAAGCAAUCCUCCUGUCUCAGCCUCCCAAAGUGCUGAGAUUAUAGACAUGAGCCACUCCAGCCAGCCUCAAAUAUUCUUAUUACUUGGAAGUAAACCAUCUACUACUCUAUCUGACCUAAGGAUUUAAAAAUAGCUUUCAUUUUAAGAAUAUGAUGUGACUCAUUAGGAGUUUGUCAGCUCAUCAGAUCUUAAGUUUUGCUUUUUGAAGUAGACAGUUUUGGUCAUGUGCAAAGAAAUGAUUUCAGUCUUACCGAUUUACUUAGAAAUCAUGGAGAUGUUGGAUAAUUUGUUAGUCAUCAAAUAGUUUGCUAAAUUUUUAAAUGGCUAACUGGUACAUAUAUAUCAUUUCAAGCAUACCCAAUGCCUGAAUGUCAUGUUUACAACUGGAUUAUAUUUAAUUUUGUUUUUAGUCUAUUAUUUCACUUUUUCUAAUCCUUUGAUGAAUUUUAUCCAUUUGAGUUUAAGUAAGAUUUUCUUUGUAACACAUAGAUUGAAAGAAACUAUGGGGGUGGGUGGAGAAAUAGAAAUGUCUUUCGAGUAUACAGAUUAUAUUAGGCAAGAUUUAAGCAAGCCAGAAAUUCCGGAUUCAGUCCAAGGAUGGUAAAACAACAAGAACAAAAAUAAAACAACAAUAAAAAAUUCAUUCAAAAGGCAUUCAUUCAUUCAUUUGACUUAUUGAUCUAGUAAGUGAUUAAAAAGGUUAAAUACAUUUGACCAUAUAUUGUGCAUGGUAGGUGUUCAAUAAUUAUUUAUUGACUAACUAGAUAUCAAUUUGAUUAAAUAUGAAGAAGCAAGACAUUAAUGAGCCCUCCACAUUCUGCUGUGAGUCAGGUUCUCAGGCAGAGUAAACAAUGAAAGAAACUAUAAAGAGCAAUUAAAGAGCCAUGGGCUCAGUGGUCAGAUGCACAUUUAUUAAUUAUGUGACCUUGAGUAUGUAUCUUAACCUCUCCAGGUUUGUUUCCUGUUUAUUUUUUUUUUAAAGGAGAAAAGUGAUAGUACCUAUUUUAUGAGAUUGUUGUGAAGAUUAAUUGAGAUGAUAUGUGUAAUACAUUGAACAUAUUCCUGGUAUGCAGUGAACACUCAAUAGCUGAGAUCAAUUAUUAUCAGUCUUUAACAAUUUCUUGGGUAGCCUGUGAUUGUAUGAACCUGAGAAGCAUUGCCUCUUCAUGGUUCACAAUAAUCCUUAAAACCAUUCAUUGUAUUGGCCAUGAUCCUCUAAAGCUGAUUUUGUAGUCUUGAUUAUAGCAGUGUCAGUCAACCUGUUAAUUUUAUGGAUGAUGUAUUCUUAAUGUAUUUAAAUUUAGGAUCAAUGUUUAUAACUUUGUUGCUUUCAUGCAGUUACUUCUCCAUCGUAUAAAACAAAAUUAGCUUAAUUAUAUACUUACAUUAUUUGUGAUAUAGUCAAAGAAGUUAGCAUGUAAGUUUCCCUCAAACUAUCCCCAUAGCAGAAAAAUAAUCAGCACAUAUUUAGAGAGGAGUGAAUUUCCUUACCAAUGUUUGUAGUAGAUGUGAUUUAACCAAGACUAGGAGCUAAAACAUGUCUGGGAGGAAUUCAUGGUAAAGUAAGCAAAGGCAAUCUGGUUAGCUCCCACAUUUGGACUCAAGGAUCUCAGAAGUGGGAAGCACAUGAAGGUUUCUGGGAGUUUCUGUGAGAGCUGCAGAAUCUUUGCUUCUAUUUCUGAUUGAAAAUGUGUCAGAACCCUCAGAAAAGGUGAUGUUAUUCUCUGAUGGGCUCAACCUGGUUAACAGCUGAGGGAUCACUGGAGGAAUGGGCCAUGAAACCUCCCGCAUGCCCACCUCCUUGGGGAAGGAGGAACAAGGCAAUUGUCUUUUUCUAUUUCUGUUCUCAACUCCAGCAGGAUGAACAAUUAAGAAACACAGACAGCCACAGAGCACACCUCUGAGACAACAUCUCUCAUUACAGUCCCGGAAUGCUUGGAUUUCAUGAAUCCCACACUGCCCUUGUUCUCUAGUCUCCAGAUGGUUCAAGGGAGCCUGUCAGGAAGCAGGACCAGUGUGACAAUGAAUAAGCUCCUGGUGGGCACCUCUGUAGCUCAGCCUCUCCCUAAUGUAAUCUAGGUUAUUUGUAUUGCAGCAGAAGUAGGAAGAAAGGACCCUGAAAAGUUAACCAAUUCCAGGUGACCCUCUGAGGUACAGACAUGCUUUGGGGAACUGGUGAGGGAGGCACAGAGCAGAUUGGGGAGUCCACGGAAGGGCCAAGGUGUCCCAGUGGGGCUUAUUAGAGCCUACCUGAAGGGAGGGUCUCCUAGGGCACAAACCACCACCGUAGAUCAUGUCUUAGAAUUAUUCUCUAAUCUUUAUUCUGAAAGGGGAGAGUGCUGGAUUUGGAACACGCCUCAGGAAGAGACACGACCCUUUCCAAGGUGGCUUCACUAGAAGCUACUACCUCUCUCUGGAGGGUAGAGAUAUUUGCCAGUCAAAGGGGAAAAUAAAGGAAAAAAGGAACACAGUAAAAGCCAUGAUUUUUUGAAGCCAGCUGAAAGACAGAUGAAAAAGAAGGAAACUAAGGUACCUGAUGUUUUAAGUAUUUUUUCAGAACAGCAGUCCUGUUUGAUUCAGUCUUGAUUUCUUUUAAAGAAAUGGAGUAGGCAUGUUCAUUUUUAUAGCCCUUUAAUUGUGUAUAUUAAUAUGCAUUUUUCAAAUGACAAAUACAUAAAUAUAAGUAAAUGAAUUAAUAACUAAGUAUUGAUGUCCUUAUAUUAGUUUGGUUCCUUUUAUAUUAUAGUCUAGUAUAAUUAUGCCAAGUUAAGCCCCUUCCUCCCAAAGGAAAUAAGAUACUACAAUUUAGAAGAAUUUCAUCCCUAAUAAUCUAUAUUAAAAUGAAAAUUUAAAAAUGUGACAAGAACAAUGGGAGGAUUCAUAAAGUGUUUAAACACUUGAAUUUUGAAUUACUUCUCUUUUAUUUAUUUUUUCUUAUUUUAUUUGAUACCUAUGUAACAUACUUAAUGUUAAUUAAAGACAGUCAAGAGGAAACCAAACAGAUUAAAUUUCUAGGGGGUUGGAAGGAGUGGAGUGGGUGGCUUUAUGCUGCCUUCACACACAUUCUAAUUCCAAAUGUAGCUUUCAGGCAUAGAGAUGUACAUUAAUUUAUAUAUGCACAAUUUCAGAAUUUAAAAAAUGGCAGAUUAUCUGGUUAAUAAAUGGUAAGAAAACUAAAAUGUUAAAGUAAAUCUCUAAGUAGGCAGUUGUUUCUUUAUAUGUAAGCAAAACAGCAUAACUUUAUGGAACCUGCAUUUUAAAAAGCAAAUCUCAAAGUUUAAUGAUCUGACAGGUUCUUUUCUAAAGUCUUGGCCAUGGAUAAAGCGGAAUCCCUAAUCACCUACAGCUAAUCUGUAGCUCAGCUGAGUUGCAGGGCUGUUUACUUGUAAGUAACAAGGGAAAAUUGAAAACUAAUUUAUCUUAUUGCUUACAUAGUUAUAAGCACAGACUUUGCAAAGUUAUGGAGUCAGAGUUGAUAAUGUAAGUAAUUUUUCUGGAUAUAAGAACUAUCAUGGACCAUGAAGAACUGAGUGUCAGUUUCAUGUAACUACAGUCUAUUCAAUAAUCUGCUAAAGGUUGAUAACAAUUGAUGCUACUCUUUAGUGCUUCUCGUGAACUGGGCACUGUAGAAGCGCAUAGUAUAGCAAGUUGAUGGUUCUGAGCUUGUGAAGAUUUCAUUAUGAAGAUGUGCUUCAAGAGGAAAAGCAAAAAUAAAUAAAAAAGUAGACAUUAAACAACAAUCCUCUAAAAGAAAAUUUAAAGUAUUAAUGAUGACUUCGUCUUCCUAAUUUGUUACCCACCGCCUACACCUCAGUCCCUUUCCUGUACUCUUUCCAUGCGUGCCACAAAAACUUCUCCAGUCUAUGGGAAAUCUAAUAUUCAUUCCAAUUUAUUUAGUACAUUCCAGGUGCCUUAUGCCCUCUUCAGUGCUAUGCUUAAUGAAAGGUAUGACAUAGAUUUAGCAUCCAUUUGGCUUUAUAUUCUAUUGCAAUAAAUAUAUUCUCAUAGAUAAGCAUGUAUUGUGACUGUACUGACAACAAUUAAAUGUGUAAUUUAUAAAACAGCUGACAUGUAUUAAUUUUCCUGAGAUAUAACAUCUUUCCAUAAUAUAUUGUACUAUACUUUGGUUGGGAAAAUUAUUUCAUACAUUUUAUCAAAAUCUAGAAAAAAGCAAUUUCUGAAUUCUUUUGUGAGUGUCAUCUUUCCCAAAUAAAUCUCUAUCACAUAGAAACUUCUCCACCAAAGAAACAUAUAUAGCCAAGUCCUAAGCACUUUUUUUCUUCUUUUUUUUUUUUUGGUAGAAAGUGAUUUAUUUGGAGAGAGAGAGAGAGAGAAACAGGAGAAGGAGAGAGAAAGAAACAGCUAACUCUCACGCUGAGUGAGAGAACCGAGAAAGAUGGAAUCCAGGAGAGGAAAGCAGCUUCCACACUGAGUGGAAAGGAAUAGCAAGAGAUGGAAUUUAGGAGGGGAAGGCAGGCUUCCACGAGAGAGUGUGGAAGAGGACCCCAGAGGGGCAAUCCAGGAAAGAGA